rnacentral:rRNA from 1 species
CCUGCCAGUAGUCAUACGCUCGUCUCAAAGAUUAAGCCAUGCAUGUGUAAGUAUAAAUAUUCUACUUUGAAACUGCGAAUGGCUCAUUAUAUCAGUUAUAGUUUAUUUGAUGAAAUGUACUACUUGGAUAACCGUAGUAAUUCUAGAGCUAAUACAUGAUCAAUUCCUCGACUUUGAAGAGGUGUAUUUAUUAGAAUGAAAACCAAUAGACUUUGUCUGUUUGUGAGUAAUAAUAACUUGUCAUAUCGCAUGCUUAGGUAGCGAUGUGUCUUUUAAGUUUCUGCCCUAUCAGCUUUCGAUGGUAGUGUAUUGGACUCCCAUGACAGUAACGGGUAACGAAGAAUUGGGGUUCGAUUUCGGAGAGGGAGCCUGAGAGACGGCUCCCACAUCCAAGGAAGGCAGCAGGCGCGUAAAUUACCCAAUCCUGACACAGGGAGGUAGUGACAAUAAAUCACAAUGCGGAACUUUUGUUUUGCAAUUGGAUUGAGAACAACGCACAACACUUAUCGAUAAACAAUUGGAGGGCAAGUCUGGUGCCAGCAGCCGCGGUAA